ensembl:lncRNA
AUCUUGCUGGGGAUUCCUGUCUUCUGAAGAGAUGGCAUUGAGCAUUUAUGAAAGAAUGUUGCUCAUCAUUACUUGCUGAAUGUGUGACAGAGCUGGAGGGAGGAAGAACAAUUGAGAUCUGAUUCUUACCCCUAGGCCUGUUCCUCUAAGUGUUUAGGUGCUGCAGUGAGUAAAAUACCUGAGCGAGUGGAGCCAGGUUCUCUUUUGUCAGUUCUUGCAAACAAUUGGAAAUCAGUUGCUCUUCUUGAACCUUUUGGUGGAGACCAUGCGGUGUCUUGUCUGCGCUGGAUGCACUGUGUGCUGCUUUUUCUAGCCUCUGCCUUCAGUGGAAAACAGCUUGGGAGUGCUUUAGCACAACAGCUGCUUCUGAAUCUACUGUUAGAAAGUGGGGACCAAUAAGAAGGUGACCUCUGUCUGCAGCUGUAAAGAGAAGCCCUGCUGAAAUCUCCUGCAGGUGUUUUCCAAAGCAUACUGUUUUCUCUCUCUGACUUGUCCAUUCUUCCCCUCUGAGUUUUGUAGUUGUACAAAGGUGUGUGUGUAUGUGUAAAAUGUAUCAUGGGGAGCGGGAGGAAAAAUACUUAAAAUGAAAAAGAAAUUUGUAAUUUCUGUGUUCACUUUAGAUAACUCGGGAAGAAAAACUCCUGAUGUGAUCUAGCUGUCCUGAAUAGCUUUUCAUACAUAAUACUGAAUCAUGAUGGAUGCUGAUGGGUUGAUCAGAAUGUACUGCUUCACAAAGUGCAGAGUAAAAGGUCCAUAGUGUGUGUUAAACUGCAAAAGCUAAUUGUUUCUACUGUGUUUGCUGCCAGGACGCACGACUUUUGUUUCUUGCUUUAAAUGGAAAAACAAACAAGUGGACAGGUUCUCUAUUGUACAUGCUUGGCAUUUAGGAAGCAGUGUAGCUUUAGGAUUGUACUGAUGCCUGUGACUGCAUCCUGGGGAGGAAGAUGGAGUGUGUUUAGCUCACUGUAUAGCAGGAACAUGAAACCUUGUCCGAGUGAAAAAUGUUGAUGGUUUUAUCGAUAGGGCUCAGUAAGCUGUAAAGUGUAUGUUGUCAUCUGUUAUGUGCUAGAAAUUCUUGCGUUGCCUUAAUUAGUUGAAAACUGCAGUACGCUUGCUUCUAUCUCAUUUCCUCGAGGUUUUUCCAGGUAAUUUUAGUUUUUCAGUUCUUUCCCUUUGAUGUACGUGGCAAUUGAGAGAAUUUUAAAAUGAUUCAGUAUUUUCAUUUUUUGAAUAGGUUCAAUAUCGAUUUUUAUAUUAAAGUACUGAACCAAAAUUAGUGAGGGAAUAUCAUACAAAGAUAGUCUUUUAAAGCAAAUUUAUCAUAUGUGCACAGUUUGCAUUGGGGGAACGUGGUCAAACAACAAAAAGCCACCAGCAAAAUCCCAGGCAAUGAAAUCAAUUUCAUUGUCAGUCUUUCAGUCUUUGCAACAUGACACUGCAAAUCAAUGGGUUCAAAGAGGGAUUAAACGAAUUAAUUAAGGAUAUAUUUCCUAACCAGUGUCCUGAGCUCUGGAAAUAGAUUUGGUUUCUGUUUUUGUCUGUGAAUGGUUCUGCAACCAGACAAACUGCAAGGUGCAUCUUGGACAUUGCCCUGUUAAAAGUGUAGCACCUGACACACCUGACCUUUGUUUGCCAGAAUACUGACUUGGUACAAGCAUUUUUCAAGCUAUACUCAAAAGCUCAACUUGGUUUUAAGAAAACAUAGUACCUUAUCCUGCCUAACUUACACCAGCAUAGGUACUGAAGGUAAAAAAGACCUCAUAUUUUGUGCUUCUUCUCCCCCCCCCCCCCCCCCCCCUUCCCCAAGUUUCAGUUUUUUCAGUUCCUCACUGAGAAAAACACCUUCAGGUGCUGGAUAUGACUGAAGGGCUCUGGUGCUUUUUCUAGAAGCAUUUGCCUCGCAUUAUCUCUGGAAAGAGCUCUAGCCCAUUUGGCAGGAGCUCUCUCCUUCUCUCAUUGCAGCUGUUCAAUUUGGUGUAAAUAAUUAAAUACUCAUUUGAAAAGGUAUUGGCACUCAGGGACUGCCCCUGCCGGCUGAGUGCCCUAACCCCAAUGCUAUAGAUCCGUUUUCAUGCACUCUGUUUGUUCCAAUGAAUAUUUCAGUGUUUUAUGUAAAACCAAACAGCUUGAAGAGGACUGACUUUGAGAGAUCUGUUGCAGUGUG